AAACAGCCCCCUAUGUUUUGAUUCUUUGGCAGUUUUGGACCCCCAAGGCAAAAAAAAAAAUAUAUAUUGACACGUGGCACCUCACUUAGGGUGUCACAUCAGCGUUAACCGAGUCAACAAUGGACUGGGGGUCCAAAACUGCCAAAGAAUCAAAACAUAGGGGGUUGUUU
rfam:Medicago truncatula strain A17 chromosome 6, whole genome shotgun sequence.